UUAAAAACUUCAUGUGUGACACUGUACAAAUAUCAAAUGUUUCAAGCAUUAAUGUGGUGUUCAUAUAUGUAUUAUGAGGUAGUCUAAUGUUAUUAUUAAUAGAGAAUCAGGGCACAUUAUAAGUUGUAAAUGCUUUUAAAAGUUAUUCCAACAUGUAGCAACUGUGUGUCCACUUAAUAAUAUUAGAUGAAUCAGACUGACAUAAAGGCAGUUUUAGGUUGUUGACUACAGCUUCUUCAUACAGUCAGUGUUUGUAGGGUAAGAUGAGCAAGAAGGUACAGUAAGUGUGGGAGGAGCUCAAUGUUUUGUCGACUCCUGCAGAAUAAAUCAAAUAGACAACACUGACUUCCCUUCAUACUGAUGAUACUGAAUCUGAACUCAAACUACAGAAACAUGUUACUCAUCACUUCUGUUUUAAUAUUUAUCCUCAGUUACUGUGAAGCGAAUGGGAAUGUCAUCAGACCAGAUCAACCAUCUGUAGUUUUAACUGAAGGAAGCAGCAUCAAUCUGUCCUGUACAUUUGAUGGAUCAGCUUACAGUCUCCACUGGUACCGGCAGAUGCCUGGAUCAAGACCAGAGUUUCUGCUGCUGAUUGUUGAAUCUACUAAAACUAAAGUUGAAGCUUCUCCACCUCACCCGCAUAUGUUCAUCAGUCUUCAUGAUAAUCGUGUGGAUCUGGAGAUCUCCUCUGCUGCAGUAUCAGACUCUGCUCUGUAUUACUGUGCUCUGCAGCCCACAGUGACAGGAAACACAAAAACACUGUACAAAAACCUUCUCAUCUUUUGUCUGUUGCAUACAGUGAUAUCCAUUAUGGCUAAUAUGGCCUUUAAAUGUACGUAAUGAGAUUAUUGACCAAUGACAAAUUGCAUUUAUUUUUCAUUUUACAUUUAUUUAGCAAGAACAUCCCUGAAAGAGAAAAGUUCUUUAGAACUGGCUGUAAGAAAUAUAGUUAUAAUCAAUACAAAAAUGGACUGCAAACAGUUAUUUAUAUAUUUUGGCGGAAUCCUUAUCGCCCACAAAACUAUUUUACAUUCUCAGUUAUGACCUCCACCACUGAAUUCCUUUGAACGCUACUAAAGAGAUUUAUUAUUAUUUUUGUAGAUAGAUAUGUAAUCUGUUCAUCAUGUUGCUGUACAAUAACUGUGUGAUGGAUUCACCAAAAAUAGUCCAUUUACAUUUGCACAGAUUUGUUGUUUUACUGUACUUACAUCCAACAAGAAACAAUGGCAAACUUAAAGGGAUAGAUCACCCAAAAAUUAAAAUUCUGUCAUCAUUUACUCACCCUCAAGUUGUUGU